GAGUUUGAUCCUGGCUCAGAUUGAACGCUGGCGGCAUGCCUUACACAUGCAAGUCGAACGGCAGCAUGAUCUAGCUUGCUAGAUUGAUGGCGAGUGGCGAACGGGUGAGUAAUACAUCGGAACGUGCCCUGUAGUGGGGGAUAACUAGUCGAAAGAUUAGCUAAUACCGCAUACGACCUGAGGGUGAAAGUGGGGGACCGCAAGGYCUCAUGCUAUAKGAGCGGCCGAUGUCUGAUUAGCUAGUUGGUGGGGUAAAGGCCCAYCMAKGCGACGAUCAKUAGCUGGUCUGAGAGGACGAUCAGCCWCACUGGGACUGACACACGGCCCAKACUCCUACGGGAGGCAKCAGUGGYGAAUUUUGGACAAUGGGCGAA
rnacentral:rRNA from 1 species